UACAGAGGGUGCAAGCGUUGUUCGGAAUUAUUGGGCGUAAAGGGCGCGUAGGCGGUGCCACAAGUCACCUGUGAAAUCUCCGGGCUUAACUCGGAGCCUGCAGGCGAAACUGUGGUGCUGGAGUGUGGGAGAGGUGCGUGGAAUUCCCGGUGUAGCAGUGAAAUGCGUAGAGAUCGGGAGGAGCACCUGUGGCGAAAGCGGCGCACUGGACCAUAACUGACGCUGGAUGCGCGAAAGCCUAGGGGAGCAAACAGG
rnacentral:rRNA from 1 species